rnacentral:rRNA from 1 species
GACGAACGCUGGCGGCGUGCUUAACACAUGCAAGUCGAACGAAGUGGCGAACGGGUGAGUAACGCGUAAUCAACCUGCCCUUCAGAGGGGUACAACAGUUGGAAACGACUGCUAAUACCGCAUACUGAAGGAGGGGAAUGUGUCUGAUUAGCUAGUUGGAGGGGUACCGGCCGACCAAGGCGAUGAUCAGUAGCCGGACUUGGUGGAUGAACGGCCACAUUGGGACUGAGACACGGCCCAGACUCCUACGGGAUGCAGCAGUGGGGCAUCUUCCGCAAUGGACGAAAGUCUGACGGAGCAACGCCGCGUGAGUGAUGCCGGCCUUCGGGUUUUAAAGCUCUGUUAAUCGGGACGCGGUACCGGAAUAGAAAGCCACGGCUAACUACGUGCCAGCAGCCGCGGUAAUUC